rnacentral:tRNA from 1 species
CUGGGCGUGGCGCAGCUUGGCUAGCGUGCUUGACUGGGGGUCAAGAGGUCGCGAGUUCGAAUCUCGCCGCCCCGA